UGAAGACUCUAAAGUCUGUGAAUUGUGUUGCCGUGAGAUCUUCCAAUUGGAUUAAGUCAGUGAUGGAGUUUAAGAGUUGGGGAAGGCUUGGAGCAGGAGGCAAUGUCAUGAAUUGUGAAGCACUUUAGAUGGGAGCAGUCAAUGAUCUGUCCCCAAAGACAGGUGGUGUCUUCACCUACACAUCCUGUGUGCAGGCAUUGCAGAGCUCUGGACUCUGCAGCUGACAGAUUGUCUGGCCUGGAGGUGUCAAUCCCAGGGAUGUCUCCAUUUCCACUACUUAAAAAGAGUGAAGGAAGAAGACAGUGUCUGGUCACUCUGAUUCCAUCUUCACCAAAAGUUCCCAGGACUUCUUCAAACAUCAGUUCAACAGUCUCUAGGUCUUCAGCUCCCUGCCUUCAGUCCUGCCACUGGGACCUGUGUGAUUUCUCCCUAUGUGAAGAGGAGCCCCAUCUGGCCUUAUUUUGUGAUCUCUGA
rnacentral:lncRNA from 1 species